GACGGAGGGUGCAAGCGUUAUCCGGAAUCACUGGGCGUAAAGCGUCUGUAGGUGGUCAAAUAAGUCAACUGUUAAAUCUUGAGGCUCAACCUCAAAAUCGCAGUCGAAACUAUUAGACUAGAGUAUAGUAGGGGUAAAGGGAAUUUCCAGUGGAGCGGUGAAAUGCGUAGAGAUUGGAAGGAACACCGAUGGCGAAGGCACUUUACUGGGCUAUUACUAACACUCAGAGACGAAAGAUAGGGUAGCAAAUGGG
rnacentral:rRNA from 1 species